UCCCUUGCCUUGCCGUGCGUUAAUUGAAUAUGAGCCGCUAAUAUAUUGCAGGAAAUAUUACCAUUACUAACUGUUAAUUGUAAUCACGUUUCAUUUUUUUAUAAAUACCUUUGAACAAGUACCGUGAGGGAAAGGUGAAAAGAACCCCGACAACGGGAGUGAAAUAGACACUGAAACCGAAUGCUUACAAGCAGUCGGAGCGGAAUUUAUUCCGUGACGGCGUAUCUUUUGUAUAAUGGGUCAGCAACGAGAAGAAGAAAGUGGCAACCGGAAACUGGGGAUG
rnacentral:ncRNA from 1 species